GCUGUGCCAAUAGACUAUUUUUUCUAGCACUAACAAAUUUUGACGUUUGUCAAAAAUCAAGAGUAAUAAUACAGGAAAAAUCCAGAAUAAUAAUAAUUAUUUGCGUAAUGAAUAUUUCAAUUACUGCUAGCAGUUACAUAUAUUGCAAAUGCCAACGUUGCAAUAUGGAGAUACUAUGUGUUUUGCUAUGGAAAUGAGGAAAGCACGGCGACAUGUUUUGUUCAUGGAACCUUCUUCACGAACCAUUACUUCACGAAAAAUUAAUGCAAAUUUGCUUCUAUUUUUUUCUAUUGUUUCCAUGAAAAUGAUGAACGAAACUCAUGCCAGGUAAACAAACUAUUGAAAAAUCACUAAACGGCGGCGCUAUCAUUUCAAUAAACUACAAACACAAAACUGUACUUUUGUACAUAAUUGUUAAAUAACUACCUUUUAGAAUACCGUUGCUAAUGAUAAUAAACAAUAAUUUUACUUAUUUUAUGCCA
rnacentral:sRNA from 1 species